UACGGGGGGAGCAAGCGUUGUUCGGAUUUACUGGGCGUAAAGGGCGCGUAGGCGGCGCGACAAGUCACUUGUGAAAUCUCUGGGCUCAACCCAGAACGGUCAAGUGAUACUGUCGUGCUAGGGUGCGGAAGGGGCAACUGGAAUUCUUGGUGUAGCGGUGAAAUGCGUAGAUAUCAAGAGGAACACCUGCGGCGAAGGCGGGUUGCUGGGCCGACACUGACGCUGGGGCGCGAAAGCUAGGGGAGCGAACGGG
rnacentral:rRNA from 1 species